rnacentral:snoRNA from 2 species
GUGGUCAGGAGAAAGGCUGCUGAGUGGUUGAGCCCGGUCAGCCGGGCACGGCCUUGUAGCAGUUGGCCUUGAUCCCCGACCUAGAGUAAACCCCCAGGAAAGCUCCUUUCUGGGAUUUGAACUUUGCAGUAGCAGGUGUGAGCAUUCUAGCAGCAGUUUGAUGAUCAUGUAUGAUACUGCAAACAAGA